ACGAACGCUGGCGGCGUGCUUAACACAUGCAAGUCGAGCGGAAAGGCUCCUUCGGGGGUACUCGAGCGGCGAACGGGUGAGUAACACGUGAGUAAUCUGCCCUGCGCUCUGGGAUAGCCACCGGAAACGGUGAUUAAUACCGGAUAUGACAUGUCCCUGCAUGGGGGUGUGUGGAAAGUUUUUUCGGCGCAGGAUGUGCUCGCGGCCUAUCAGCUUGUUGGUGAGGUAAUGGCUCACCAAGGCUUUGACGGGUAACCGGCCUGAGAGGGUGACCGGUCACACUGGGACUGAGACACGGCCCAGACUCCUACGGGAGGCAGCAGUGGGGAAUAUUGGACAAUGGGCGGAAGCCUGAUCCAGCAACGCCGCGUGAGGGAUGACGGCCUUCGGGUUGUAAACCUCUUUCAGUACCGACGAAGCGAAAGUGACGGUAGGUACAGAAGAAGGACCGGCCAACUACGUGCCAGCAGCCGCGGUAAAAC
rnacentral:rRNA from 1 species